GCAGAGCAUGAACCUACAGGAUCGGGUCACCGCCUUGAUGUUAGUGGAGAACGACAGGGUGUUGUCCAGGAUCACGCCAAGGUUCUUAGCACUCUGGGAGGAGGACACAAGGGAGUUGUCAACCGUGAUGGCGAGAUCAUGGAACGGGCAGUCCUUCCCCGGGAGGAAGAGCAGCUCCGUCUUGCCGAGGUUCAGCUUGAGGUGGUGAUCCGUCAUCCACACUGAUACUUAAUAGGCACAUACUAUAGAUUCUUUUUAAUUUAACCUCUUGAGAUGGGAAAACAUUUAUUUAUGAAGUUGAAUAUGUGCUCUUAAUGAUAAAAUUAGGUGGAAUCAAAAGUUACUACUCAAAGGGCACCCAAUUUGUGGAACAACCCUUUUAUUUGUUAGUGUGCUUGUGUUCAUUGCGGUUGUAUGUAUACCCUUGUUAUAGUUCACAGGCUCUGUGUGUGUCCUUAUCUGAUCCAAAUCUCUUCCUCAUAGCAAGGCAGCCUCAGGUAGCCUGCCUGGAAAGAGUCCCUUGCAGAAUAAACCUCCCAAAGAGAUCCCCUCAGAGCCCAAGGUCUCCCCAGGGACCAAGAGACCUUAGGGGGGAAGCCAAAAAAGAAAGAGUCAGGGGAGACUGAGACAGCUUUGUCAGUGGGACAGAAACCCAAUAACUCCCAAGUGCCGCAGCAUAGCCUUGAAGGUGAGUUAGAAAGAGAGCAGUGAAAGGGAGGGACCCAGUGACGGGGAGGAGUUACAGCUGACCAAUGAGGAGGACAGCGAGGCAUCUGAGGAGCCAAAGCCAUCAGGGCCAAGAAAUAGGAGGCAAGAGUUCAGCACCACAGAGAAGAAGUAGUGGAGGCAAGAAGAAAGUGAAGAGGAUGAGGAUUGGGAGGGAGAUGGGGGAGAAGGGGAUGAAGCCGGCCAGGAGGAAAGUGGGGAAGGGUGAAGAUGAGUGGUUGAAGGUCUACCUGGAGAAGAUUGUGUGUGGGUGGGGCAGCCGCCGCUGUUCUCCAAGCAGGCCACCUAGCCCAUGACCUACGUGGUAGCCGUGGACGGAAACAGUCACAUGAAGGAUCUGGGCAGCAAGUACGACCCCACCUGAAUGACCUUCACCAAAAAGUGCCAGGUGGACGAGGAGUGGUGGGAAGUGACGAAUCUGAGAGAGACAUCCAGGAGGAAACAGCUCCAGGGGAAGUUGCUGGACAAGCCGUUACCCACAUCAAUAGCAGAGUUAAAAAACCAUCCCCUGUACGCCCUGAAGAGACUACUGAGAUAUGAAGCUCUUUAACCCCCCCAGCAGCAAUCCUGGGGUACUCCAGGGGAGAGCCUGUACUCCAGGUAAGCGGCACACAUAACAGGGAUUUUUUCAUAACUGAUUUUGAAUAUAAAGAAUUAGAUAGAGGGCUGUUUAAAAUGAUAAAGUUGUUUCAAAGCAGAGUUAAUGGAAAUGUUGUUCUUUUUUUGGAGGUAAUGUAAAUGUAUUAUUGUGGUGUUCAUAGAGAUUGUGUUUGGUAUCCAAAACAAAUGUAUAUUUUUUUGGAUUGUGAAAAGUAAUGAGAAAUACAGUUGUACUUAUUUGCAUCUGGGUUAUCCACCGGGACUGUAUUCACGCACUACACUCCAAAGACACAUUGCUGAAGGAGGCACGCACCUUCCGUCUAGGAGAGAAGCCCUACAAGGUGAGCAGGGUCGUAUUCAUUAGGGCACACCGUAGCAAAACCCUCACUCACUCACUCACUCACUCAUACUCAUAUAUACACACACACACACACACACACACACACACACACACACACACACACAGAUGGUGAUAGGUUGUUCGAAUCGCUCUCGGAAGGCCAGGAUGACAUCAGAGCAGAAGGACAAAGAUGACCUGCCUCUGCUUGGUAAAUGGCAGACAGCGGAGUACCAGCCACCAGUAGCUGUAGAUGGAAGGCCCUGCACGUUGCCAGUAGGCUGUGCCCAUCUUCAACUGCCAAACCUCAAGAGUGGCUAAGAAGCUGGACAUGGACUGUGCCUCUGCUGUCGCUGGCUUUGACUUCCACCAUGGUGGCUACUUUCAUGCUGUAACGGAUGGCUACAUUGUGUGUGUGUGUGUGUGUGUGUGUGUGUGUGUGUGUGUGUGUGUGUGUGUGUGUGUGUGUGUGAGGAGCAUGAGGAGAUCCUGAGAGCAGCUUGGGUGGAGGACCAAGAGAUAUAGUAGAAAGAGAAGCAGGAAAAGAGAGCCAUGUCUAACUGGACUCUGCUGGUGAAGGCCCUGCUGAUCAGGGAGACACUCCAGCGGUGCUAUGGGAAGAAAGGCCCAACAGCCAGGGGAGGACUGGACCAACUGAAGAGCCAGAAUGGGGACAGGGUCUGUCGUCUGAAGAGGAGGGGGACGAGGAGGGUGGGCAGAACACAGCUGCUGCCACACUGGCACAGACCUGGCCCCAGGACAGUGGCACAGGGGGCCCAAACGGGAGAAAAGGGUCCCAUUUGAGAAAGUAUGUGUUCAUGUUUCCAGAGCGGAUCAGAGCCAAUAUUCACAAAGUGUUUCAGUGCUGAUCUUUAAUCUGUUUUUCCUUCUAGAUCAUAAUGAAUAAGAUUACAUGGACAGGGAGGACCAGAUCCUAAAUCAGCACUCCUACUUUAAGACACUUUAUGAAUACGGGCCCAGAAGUAGGUCAGACAGACAGGUGUCAUAACAACAUUAGUGUUCCAUGAUGCUCGGUUCUCGGUUCCUGAUGUCUUACAGGAGAUGUAGGUCAUUGUAAUCCCUGUGGACCAAGGCCUACAAAGCAGCCUGGCACAAACUCAGACCUGUACUGCUGCAGGUGGUGUAACCUCAAUGUAAACUGAUUUCCUUCAACCCCCCCCUCAUUACACUUCUAUCUUUCUAGAGAGAGAAAAAGAAGCUGCUGGUGUGUGUAUGUUUGUACGGGCACGUAAAUGGGGGAGCUCAGUUGUUUGUCUCUACUCUAUAUUGGUAGAAAUAAUGUUUCUGUAUCAAAAAUAUUUUUCAAAGAUUAUUUUAUGAAAAUAAAAAAUGUCACACAG